rnacentral:tRNA from 1 species
GGUAAUGUGGCUUAGUGUUAGAGUGCUUGCCUAGCAUGCAUGAAGCCCUGGGUUCCAAUCCUCAAUACUU